rnacentral:rRNA from 1 species
CAGCCGCCGCGGGAAUACGUAGGGUGCAAGCGUUAAUCGGAAUUACUGGGCGUAAAGCGUGCGCAGGCGGUUAUAUAAGUCAGAUGUGAAAUCCCCGGGCUCAACCUGGGAGCUGCAUUUGAGACUGUAUGGCUAGAGUGUGUCAGAGGGGGGUAGAAUUCCACGUGUAGCAGUGAAAUGCGUAGAUAUGUGGAGGAAUACCGAUGGCGAAGGCAGCCCCCUGGGAUAACACUGACGCUCAUGCACGAAAACGUGGGGAGCAAACAGGAUUAGAUACCCCAGUAGUCCCUGUCUCUUAUAC